GGUGAUCCCUGGUGCAUUCACUUGUUCAUGGGGCCGCGUUGCUAGAAGCUCCCUCCCCCUUGAUGGCUGCUGGCGCCCGCGGACUCCAUGAGGGUAGUUGUAACCACCUCCUAGCAUUCCCUGCUCGCUACCCGGGCCCCCAAACUCUGCGCCUCGUUGCUAGAUAAAGGAGGGCCGCCACCCCGCUCCUUCCUCCGUUCGCGACGACUUCAGUGAGCUCGCUGCAAUCCACCACUAGCCGAUUAAAGGUUUGGUAAGAGAGAGAAGGUGAGCACGGGAAGAUAAGAACGAGGUUGGGAUCUUCAACGUGGAGACGGGGGCGGGCCACGGUGCGUUCCCGUGCAGCGCUGGUGUCGGCCAUGACGUCAAUAAGACAGAGGGCCGGUGCCUCACUGUCGGCAAGCAAGGAUCACCGUCGCACCGACACCUUUCGUGGGCAGCUCUGCUUGCGCUCCUAACACCAGAGAAGAACAGGUAGUCCAGGAGGAGGUGUACAAUGAAGUACGAGCUUAUCUAGGUGGCGUCUCCGAGUCAACUUUAUGGUGCCAAGGAAUAAUAUUUGGUUCGCUUUAUUGUUAUCAUCUAUUUUUGUAAGACUUCCGCUAUGUAAUAAUGAUAUUUGUGACAUUUAUCUCUAUACACUUUGUCAUUAUAUGUGA